rnacentral:rRNA from 1 species
AUUGAACGCUGGCGGCAGGCCUAACACAUGCAAGUCGAGCGGAGCGGCGGACGGGUGAGUAAUGCCUAUGUAUCUGCCUGUUCGUGGGGGAUGACGUCCGGAAACGGGCGCUAAUACUGCAUACUCUCAGCAGAGGCUAUGUGGGAUUAGCUAGUUGGUGGGGUAAGGGCCUACCCAGGCGACGAUCCGUAACUGGUCUGAGAGGAUGAUCAGUCACACUGGAACUGAGACACGGUCCAGACUCCUACGGGAGGCAGCAGUGGGGAAUAUUGGACAAUGGGCGAAAGCCUGAUCCAGCCAUGCCGCGUGUGUGAAGAAGGUCUUCGGAUUGUAAAGCACUUUAAGUUGGGAGGCGUUACCCACAGAAGAAGCACCGGCUAACUCCGUGCCAGCAGCCGCGGUAAUAC